GGAUGUGAGGACGAUCUGGCUGCGACAUCUGUCACCCCAUUGAUCGCCAGGGUUGAUUCGGCUGAUCUGGCUGGCUAGGCGGGUGUCCCCUUCCCUCCUCACCACUCCAUGUGCAUCCCUCCCGAAGCUGCACUCUCGGUUGAAGAGGAUGACCUUCCCCAACAGAGGAGGACCGUUCUUUGGUCAAGGGUAUACAAGUAGCUGCGCUCCCCUGCCACUAUGUGUGGUGACAGAUGUUACCUAGACUUAUUGUGGUGAUCAUUUUGCAAUAUAUACAAACACCAAUCAUUAUGUUG
rnacentral:snRNA from 14 species